AAGAGAUUAGUUUAAAUAAAACAUUAGAUUGUCAAACUAAAGAUAUUAAAUUUAAUAUCCCUUA
rnacentral:tRNA from 1 species